AGAACAAACACCUAUAUUAUAUACAACAAAAGUGUUGCAUUAACUCAAGAUAUUAUGACCUCAUGUCACAUUUUCAGUUGAAUAUUAUGUCUUUGGAAGAAUGUUAUAAGCCAUGUGACAAGCGUAAAUGGAAUGAAGAAAUCUUUCAACUCCCAGAGGACACAGAGCAUGAACAGGCUGCAAGAAAAGGAGAGCGCCAAAGAAGAAAGUCAACCAGAAAUAAAAAGUACAGGACAAAGGGCUCGUGAAUGUCUAAGGAUUCACAGCAAAAGCAGCAAAGCCUCGUUAGAGGAACUGGAAUUGAAUAGAGAUUGAAUGAACCUGAAAAGGGGUCUGAGCACACUCUCUAACACAGAAAAGACAACAACAAUAGGUGAAGAUACACAGGUCACAAAAGCAGCUUUGAAAUGCUGGCAUCACCAACAGGGUUAUUCCCUUAAUAAUAGUAGACACAGAACUACUAUAAACUCCCUGAUGUGAAGAGCUCAAUGAUGUAAAAUGAAACUGAAACCUCUAUAAUAUACAUCUAAUGUAUUCUUCUAUUUAAGUGAUGUUCUUAUCAGUUUCAUUAUUGCAGUCAAUUUGAUUAUUGUCAAAGUAUCCGUUUUCAUUAAAGUUGCCAUGUAAAUCUCUAAUUCGUUUAGCAUCUAAGGUAGAAGUACUUGAGUGGACUUCUUUGAAUAAGUGAUAGCAGUGAUGACAGAUAAUGGUGCUACUUUGAUUGCUUUUGUUUACACUCUUAACUACUAUUAAAAAG
rnacentral:lncRNA from 1 species